CCUACGGGUGGCAGCAGUGAGGAAUUUUCGUCAAUGGGGGCAACCCUGAACGAGCAACGCCGCGUGCAGGAUGACGGUCUUCGGAUUGUAAACUGCUUUUCUCUGGGAAGAGAACGGACGGUACCAGAGGAACAAGCCCCGGCUAACUACGUGCCAGCAGCCGCGGUAAUACGUAGGGGGCGAGCGUUGUCCGGAUUUAUUGGGCGUAAAGCGCACGCAGGCGGUUCUCUAAGUGUUCACUGACAGUCCUCGGCUUAACCGAGGAAGGCGUGGGCAAACUGGGGAACUUGAGGGCUUCAGAGGGAGACGGAAUUCCGGGUGGAGUGGUGAAAUACGUAGAUAUCCGGAGGAACACCAAAGGCGAAGGCAGUCUCCUGGGAAGUCACUGACGCUCAGGUGCGAAAGCCAGGGGAGCGAACGGGAUUAGAUACCCCAGUAGUC
rnacentral:rRNA from 1 species